rnacentral:rRNA from 1 species
GAUGAACGCUGGCGGCGUGCCUAAUACACGCAAGUCGAGCGAAUGGAUUAAGAGCUUGCUCUUAUGAAGUUAGCGGCGGACGGGUGAGUAGCACGUGGGUAACCUGCCCAUAAGACUGGGAUAACUCCGGGAAACCGGGGCUAAUACCGGAUAACAUUUUGAACCGCAUGGUUCGAAAUUGAAAGGCGGCUUCGGCUGUCACUUAUGGAUGGACCAGCGUCGCAUUAGCUAGUUGGUGAGGUAACGGCUCACCAAGGCAACGAUGCGUAGCCGACCUGAGAGGGUGAUAGGCCACACUGGGACUGAGACACGGCCCAGACUCCUACGGGAGGCAGCAGUAGGGAAUCUUCCGCAAUGGACGAAAGUCUGACGGAGCAACGCCGCGGGAGUGAUGAAGGCUUUCGGGUCGUAAAACUCUGUUGUUAGGGAAGAACAAGUGCUAGUUGAAUAAGCUGGCACCUUGACGGUACCUAACCAGAAAGCCACGGCUAACUACGUGCCAGCCGCCGCAGUAA